rnacentral:tRNA from 1 species
UUGUGAGUAGCUUAACGGUAAAGCCCGGGGCUCAUAACCCCGUCGAUGCGGGUUCGAAUCCCGUCUCACUCA